UACGUAGGGUGCAAGCGUUGUCCGGAUUUAUUGGGCGUAAAGAGCGUGUAGGCGGCCAGGUAGGUCCGUUGUGAAAACUCGAGGCUCAACCUCGAGACGUCGAUGGAAACCAUCUGGCUAGAGUCCGGAAGAGGAGAGUGGAAUUCCUGGUGUAGCGGUGAAAUGCGCAGAUAUCAGGAAGAACACCCGUGGCUAAGGCGGCUCUCUAGUACGGUACUGACGCUGAGACGCGAAAGCGUGGGGAGCGAACAGG
rnacentral:rRNA from 1 species